AUUGAACGCUGGCGGCAGGCUUAACACAUGCAAGUCGAGCGGGGUGAUGGUGCUUGCACUAUCACUUAGCGGCGGACGGGUGAGUAAUGCUUAGGAAUCUGCCUAUUAGUGGGGGACAACAUCUCGAAAGGGAUGCUAAUACCGCAUACGUCCUACGGGAGAAAGCAGGGGAUCACUUGUGACCUUGCGCUAAUAGAUGAGCCUAAGUCGGAUUAGCUAGUUGGUGGGGUAAAGGCCUACCAAGGCGACGAUCUGUAGCGGGUCUGAGAGGAUGGUCCGCCACACUGGGGCUGGGACAAGGCCCAGACUCCUACGGGAGGCAGCAGUGGGGAAUAUUGGACAAUGGGGGGAACCCUGAUCCAGCCAUGCCGCGUGUGUGAAGAAGGCCUUAUGGUUGUAAAGCACUUUAAGCGAGGAGGAGGCUCUUUUGGUUAAUACCCAAGAUGAGUGGACGUUACUCGCAGAAUAAGCACCGGCUAACUCUGUGCCAGCCGCCGCAGUAA
rnacentral:rRNA from 1 species